GCCGAAGUAGCUCAAUUGGUAGAGCAACGGUAUCGUAAACCGUAGGUUGUGAGUUCAAGUCUCACCUUCGGCU
rnacentral:tRNA from 1 species